GCUGGUGGGAUGUGGGCUUCAUGUUACCACUAUACCUUUCCCCUUAGCCCCAUACUCCAUGCCCACAGUCUAGUGGUGAAUCAGCCCAGGUAGUGGAAGGAGUUGUGAGCCUUCAGGUUAUUGGUGUCGGUAAUGAAUGUCUUCUUGUUCCUCUUCAUCAGGAAGCUGGAGCAGUUCCUCAGGGACCAUCCAUUGCAGAUCUAUUUCACAAUUCUACCCCUCCAUGAAACUGGGCCACUCCAGUCUCUUUUCAUGAAGAAACUCUUAUUUUCU
rnacentral:lncRNA from 1 species